UACGGAGGGUGCAAGCGUUUAUCCGGAUUCACUGGGUUUAAAGGGUGCGUAGGUGGGUCUGUAAGUCAGUGGUGAAAUCUCCGAGCUUAACUCGGAAACUGCCAUUGAUACUAUAGAUCUUGAAUUAUCUGGAGGUGAGCGGAAUAUGUCAUGUAGCGGUGAAAUGCUUAGAUAUGACAUAGAACACCAAUUGCGAAGGCAGCUCACUACGGAUACAUUGACACUGAGGCACGAAAGCGUGGGGAUCAAACAGG
rnacentral:rRNA from 1 species